rnacentral:lncRNA from 10 species
AAGGAGGCCUCUGCUCGAGAGCCUUCAUGGGGGCUGAGGAACCUUUGGGAGCCUGAGCUGAUGGAGACUGGGCCUAAGCCUUUGGCCUACAGAGUCUGAGACCCUGGUGAUGUGGGCGCCCCAGGCAAUGAAUGCUGCCUUCAUAUCACCAGUAGUGUUUAUGUUAGAAUGUGCCCCUUCAGUGACUGUGGCAGUCUGCAAUGUAUUAAUCCACUCAAUGGCUAGGGCCUUUAACGAGUAUUAUAUACUUCCAAGA